rnacentral:rRNA from 1 species
CGACGAAAGUCCUUCGGGAUGAGUAGAGUGGCGGACGGGUGAGUAACGCGUAGGAAUCUAUCCUGUAGUGGGGGAUAACGUUUCGAAAGGAACGCUAAUACCGCAUACGCCCCAAGGGGGAAAGCGGGGGAUCUUCGGACCUCGUGCUAUAGGAGGAGCCUGCGUCGGAUUAGCUAGUUGGUGAGGUAAAGGCUCACCAAGGCGACGAUCCGUAGCUGGUCUGAGAGGAUGAUCAGCCACACCGGAACUGAGACACGGUCCGGACUCCUACGGGAGGCAGCAGUGGGGAAUAUUGCGCAAUGGGCGAAAGCCUGACGCAGCCAUACCGCGUGUGUGAAGAAGGCCUUCGGGUUGUAAAGCUCUGUCAGCAGGGAAAAAGGUUCUAGGUAACCCCUAGGGCUUGAUGGUACCUGCAGAGGAAGCACCGGCUAACUCUGUG